UUUUAUGCGUUAGCGAUUGCAGUGGCAUCCUUUUUUGAGGAACGAGAGAAAAGAUAUAACGGAAAGCGCGACCCUUU
rnacentral:sRNA from 1 species